UCGAAAAGCUAUGGUGAUAAAGUAGUAGUAAUCUGAUAGAAAAAUCCUUUAAAAUGGGGGCCUAAAUUGCAAAAAGUAAGCUGUGUGAUUGCUGAAAUAGUACCCAUUCGAUGAGUGGAAAAUGGGUAUACAUGUUGAUGAAGGUGCGAUGGGCAGCAGUGAUAUUAGGAUUGUUGAAUAUGGUAGUGAUCAUAUUGGGAAUCAUAUUGAUAUUCAAGAUGGUGGAGGGAGAGAGAUGCAGCAAAAGAGAUGUAUUGGCAAUUGCUGGAAUAUGGUUGCUUUGUUUUCUCAGAAUUAUUGCGAUGCUUCGUACUGCUAUUGCCCAACGUGCUACUGCUCUUCUUGUUGUUUCCCAGACGGAGACUCCCAUUGCUGAUGCCCUCAUUCGCCACCAAAAACGGAUGCGAUACAAGAGAUGGCUGUGGUGGACUCGUGCUGCUAUGUUUAUUACUGUCUUGCAAUUCAUCGCUGCUAUUUACCUCUUCUUUCGCCUUUGGCAGCAUUUUUCCCAACCCCCAACCGCGAACACUUGUACCAGCUCCCAUAAACGUCUGCUCGUCGUCUUUAUGAUUGUGGUGUGUUUAAUUGUAGUGCUGCAGUGUCUUGCCGGAUCCGAUGUUCUUCGAUGGAGAUCUUUUUACACUACUCAAGAUCAUGCAUGGAAGACUCAUUACCAGGAGGUCUUUGAUUAUGGCCUUCGCGAGGCUUUGUGCUGUAUGGGACGUGCCAAAUACUUAACCGUGCUGGAGGAAGAUGAAGUGUAUUCAGUUGCGCAGUUACUGGGUGAUCUUGUAGCUUAUCGUGCCUCUGGAACUGGCCAUUUAGAACUUUUGGCAGGCCUGGCGUUGUUACAAAGGAAUGAUCACAUCACUGAAAUUCAUCAAGAUAUGGUUGAGGCACCGGAAGAGCGUAUUCACGAAGCUGUUGUUUACCAUCCUUUUGCUGAAGCUGCAUACACGGGUCUGUUACUUGAUUUUGGUAGAAACCCUGUAUUAUUUCCAUGUGCAUGGGCAUGGCUUUAUAGACAAGGAAUAUUGACUCCUUGGACCCGCAACAGGCGACCAGUACUUGAAGGUGAUAAUUGGUGGCGGGGUCAUGCUGCAGCUUUCUUGAAAGAUCUUAACUUAACACCAGAUGUGCUUCGGAAAGGACGUGUCAAUCAAAUGGUAAAGUGUAAAGCAGCUUACUUUGUUGUCGUACUUCAUCAUCUAAAAUGUGUUGUGAUUGCUGUUCGCGGGACUGAAAGCCCAGAAGACCUUAUAACUGAUGCAUUAUGUAGGGAAUGCAAUCUUACUACAGAAGAAUUAGAUGGUUUGAGCAAGCAUCACCAGGAUUUAGGUCCAUCUUUGUCACACUAUGGACACUCCGGGGUAGUUGAAGCUGCACGAGAUAUCUUCAUGCAAAUUGAAGGUAGUGCAGCAGGUUCGGGUGGAUUUCUUUCUUCGUUGCUGGGAGCUGGUUGUGAGUGUGAAGGUUAUGAGAUUCGUAUAGUAGGACAUUCCCUUGGAGGAGCAAUAGGUGCAUUGCUUGGGUUGAGGCUAUAUGAUCGAUUUCCUAGAUUACAUGUUUAUGCUUAUGGACCCCUUCCUUGCAUGGAUGCAGUAAUAGCAGAUGCAUGCUCAGGAUUUAUAACAAGCAUUGUAUACCAACAUGAAUUUUCAGCACGCCUUUCAGUAACAUCUAUACUUAGGCUUCGUGCAUCUGCACUUGUAGCAUUAUCAAGCAACUCAAACACUGAUUGUACUGCAAUUUAUAGACUUGCACGCCGAUUUCUUGGCGAGAACAAUCAACUUCGAGGGGACAACAGAUUUUCAGCUUCAGAUUUGACUGCAGUGGUAAUGAAAGCCGAGGAGAAUAGGGGCAUUCAUCACUCCGGUGGUAACAAUGGAGCAUGGAACGGGCAAAAGAUAUAUCUCAUGGGAAAAAUACUAAGAUGGAAAAUAGUUCUUGUGAUGAAAUUGAUUGCAGUUCCUCUCAUAGUUUUAUGAAGCCAUAUUACCAAUCCUCUGCCGAUAUAGUUGAGGACCCAGUCUCUCAGUUUAUAGAAGAUGUGCCAUCAGCACCUGAAGAUAUUCCUGAUUUGUUUUUACCAGGAUUAGUCAUUUAUAUAGUACCAGAGAGGAACAACUUAGAAACUACCCUUUGGAAGCUUUGGACAGCUCAAGACAAUGAAUGCAGCUAUAGAGCUUAUAUAGCAAAUAAAGAUUCAUUUAAGGAUAUUAUUGUCUCACCAACUAUGUUUCUGGAUCAUUUACCUUGGAGAUGUCACUAUGCGUUGAAAAAGGUACUUGACACGCGGCGCUCCCAACUUAUACCAGAUGGAUCUCAAGUGGUAUAAUUUUCCUUUUAGAUUAUCGUAAAUGGGUUCAAAUAGUUCUCUUUAUUGUGUAAAAUUCUGCCUUUGACAUUGGUGAAAACAGUUAAGAUGGUGCUACUAAUUGUUUUCUCUGAGUACAUAGUUUGUUAAUGAUGUCCUUGCAAGGAGAGAUUACUGAGCAUGGUUUAGAGAUGAAUUAUCCCAUACAGGUUGUAAUUGAGCAUCAAGGGAACCAUAAUUUGUGAAACAGCUAUACAGGACAUCUCUGCGUGUAUCUCUUUUAACGUGGAAUCCAUCUUUCGACGUGGUUGUACUUGGCGGGGGUGUUUUUUUUCCCGGUUA